rnacentral:lncRNA from 1 species
GAACGGGCUGUGGGGAGCGGGCGGAGCUGGCCCUGCUUCUGCCUGGCCAGCGCCGCAGGCGGCGCGGGCCGUGUCCGCUGCCGUCAACUUCCCGGAGCGCCUGCUGAGGCCGAGGGAGACGCCGGGGCCUGCACCUGGAGAGAGCCUGCCGUGCUGGCCCGGAGGAGGGGGCGUUGCCAUGGCGACAGCCUCUCCGGCAGCUGACGGGGGGCGGGGGCGGCCUUGGGAAGGAGGGCUGGUCUCCUGGCCCCCUGCCCCUCCCCUUACGCUCCCCUGGACCUGGAUGGGCCCGAGCUGGGGGCAACACCCUGGGCAUUGGGGCUUUCCAGCUCUCACAGACCCAUCAGCAUCUCCAGCUGCCAGUCUUGGCAUCUUCGAAGUAAGGAGAGAUGCCUCUGGAUGUUCAAUGCUAGCACCUUUACAGACUGGAGCAGCUCGAUUUUCUUCAUAUUUACUUUCAAGAGCAAGAAAAGUGCUGGGCUCCCACUUAUUUUCUCCCUGUGGUGUUCCGGAGUUCUGUUCCAUAUCCACCAGAAAGCUGGCGGCCCACGGCUUUGGCGCGUCAAUGGCGGCAAUGGUGCCCUUCCCUCCCCAGAGGUAUCACUACUUUUUAGUGCUGGACUUUGAGGCCACAUGCGACAAGCCACAGAUUCAUCCUCAGGAAAUCAUUGAGUUCCCCAUCCUGAAGUUAAAUGGCCGGACCAUGGAAAUUGAGUCUACCUUUCACAUGUAUGUCCAGCCUGUAGUCCACCCACAGCUUACCCCCUUCUGUACAGAGCUCACUGGGAUCAUUCAAGCCAUGGUGGA